rnacentral:rRNA from 1 species
UACGGAGGGUGCGAGCGUUGUUCGGAAUUAUUGGGCGUAAAGCGCGUGUAGGCGGUUUUUUAAGUCUGAUGUGAAAGCCCCGGGCUCAACCUGGGAAGUGCAUUGGAAACUGGAAGACUUGAGUACGGGAGAGGGUAGUGGAAUUCCCAGUGUAGGAGUGAAAUCCGUAGAUAUUGGGAGGAACACCGGUGGCGAAGGCGGCUACCUGGACCGAUACUGACGCUGAGACGCGAAAGCGUGGGGAGCAAACAGG